CGUUAGAUUUUGAAAAAUAAAAAAGGUUUGACAAAAAACUUUAAGAAAAAAUCUAUCUAAAUUGGAUGAAAAACUGUUCAAUGUGUUACGGGGAUUGUGCACAGAAUAAUGUCGAGACAGCUGCAGCUUAGCAAGCCCACAGAUGAAGAUUCGGAAAUUUCUAUAUUUCUCAUCUGAACUGAAGAUCUGUUGUGAUUGGUUAUGCAUCUGCCAUAUGCUCAAUGCGCAGGCUAUGGGACGUGUACUCGACUCUAUGGAUCGUAUACGAGAAACCACGGUACUGUAAAUUUCAGAUGUUUUAGACUCUACUGCUUCACUAUUCCAAAAGACUGCAAAAGGGAGAAAAUAUUGACAGGAAAACAUCAAGUUGCUAAAUUGUUUUAAGUACUUAAAUACAUUUAUCAAAACUGA
rnacentral:sRNA from 1 species